rnacentral:pre_miRNA from 1 species
GGCUUGUUUUCAGUUGCCUGCGGCUGGCUAAUAUGACUCAGGCAGCUAAAGCAAGUCUG